rnacentral:tRNA from 1 species
GGCUUUUAGCUCAGUGGUUAGAGUGUUCGUCUCCCAUGCCAAAGUGGUGGGUUCGAGGCCCGUGAGCCG